UMCCAGCUCCACGAGUGGSAACYACAAUUAUUGGGCCUAAAGCGUCCGUAGCCGGUUUAAUAAAUUUCUUGUGAAAUUGUUGCGCUUAACGUAACAACGUGCAGGAAAGACUGUUAAACUUGGGACUGGGAGGGGUUAGAAGUAUCUCUGGGGUAGCGGUAAAAUGUUAUAAUCCUAGAGAGACUACCUAUGGUGAAGGCAUCUWACUAGAACAGGUCCGACGGUGAGGGACGAAAGCUAGGGGAGCAAAACGGAUUAGAUACCCGAGUAGUCCUAGCUGUAAACGCUGCGAGCAAGAUGUUGCGUAUUCUUCGUGAAUACGCAGUAUCGMAGAGAAGUCGUUAAGCUCGCCGCCUGGGAAGUAUGGUCGCAAGACUGAAACUUAA
rnacentral:rRNA from 1 species